rnacentral:piRNA from 1 species
UGAAAAUGACUUCACUUCUCAAAUCCCUA